AGAGUUUGAUCCUGGCUCAGAAUCAACGCUGGCGGCGUGCCUAACACAUGCAAGUCGAGCGAGAAAAGGGGGGCAACUCCCUGAGUAAAGCGGCGCACGGGUGAGUAACACGUGGGUAAUCUGCCCUGGAGUGGGGAAUAACACCGGGAAACCGGUGCUAAUACCGCAUACGAUCGCGAUGUCUGCGGACGUUGUGAUGAAAGGAGCAAUUCGCUCCAGGAGGAGCCCGCGGCUGAUUAGCUAGUUGGUGAGGUAAUGGCUCACCAAGGCUACGAUCAGUAUCCGGUCUGAGAGGACGGUCGGACACACUGGAACUGAGACACGGUCCAGACUCCUACGGGAGGCAGCAGUGGGGAAUUUUUGGCAAUGGGGGAAACCCUGACCAAGCAACGCCGCGUGGGUGAUGAAGUCUCUUGGGACGUAAAACCCUUUCGACGGGGAAGAAAACCGCAAGGUUUGACGGUACCCGUAGAAGAAGCCCCGGCUAACUCCGUGCCAGCAGCCGCGGUAAUACGGGGGGGGCAAGCGUUGUUCGGAAUUACUGGGCGUAAAGGGUGCGUAGGCGGUCCGCUAAGUUAGAUGUGAAAACUCUGGGCUCAACCCAGAGCCUGCAUCUAAUACUGACGGGCUAGAGUUCUGGAGGGGGUAGCGGAAUUCCUGGUGUAGCGGUGAAAUGCGUAGAUAUCAGGAGGAACACCGGUGGCGAAGGCGGCUACCUGGACAGAGUCUGACGCUGAGGCACGAAAGCUAGGGGAGCAAACAGGAUUAGAUACCCCGGUAGUCC
rnacentral:rRNA from 1 species